CAGGAAAAGAAAGGGGGUGCACCGGGCCCCUCUGAGGCUAAGUCUUACUCCUCUGGCCUCUUUGCCAUUCUACUUCCUCCGGAGCCUGUAGCUGACAAGAAGACCCAAGGACAUGGGCGUUUCCUGAACCUGUCAACUCUUGUGUAGAGGAAGCCCAGAGAGAUGCAGCAAGAGAGCAGAAUGGGUCAGAAUUGGGAAGAACACCCUCUGGUAAAUGGACGCAGGGUCUACUUGAAGCCACGGGUCCUGCCCAUCUGGAUGUCUUGCAUCAGCCCACUCAGAUGCCGGGGAUGCGGACUUGCUGAGUCCUUGAACACCUUCCCUCUGAUUGUCCGCUUCUGUCCUUCCCACCCAGGACACAGAAAUAGAUUUUAGCUGUACCUAUUUUUCCUCCC